UCUAGAAGCUUCGGCAAUGGGGGCAACCCUGACCGAGCGACGCCGCGUGUGGGAUGAAGCAUUUCGGUGUGUAAACCACUGUCAGAAGGGAAGAAGGCCUGGAAAACGAUAAAUUUUCCGGGAGAGACGGUACCUUCAGAGGAAGCCCCGGCUAACUCCGUGCCAGCAGCCGCGGUAAUACGGAGGGGGCUAGCGUUGUUCGGAAUUAUUGGGCGUAAAGGGCGCGUAGGCGGCCUGGUAAGUCUAGCGUGAAAUCUUCACCGCUCAACGGGAAGACGGCGCUGGAUACUGCUGGGCUAGAGUGCGAGAGAGGUUGGUGGAAUCCCUGGUGUAGCGGUGGAAUGCGUAGAUAUCAGGAGGAACACCGGUGGCGAAGGCGGCCGACUGGCUCGUAACUGACGCUGAGGCGCGAAAGCGCGGGUAGCAAACAGGAUUAGAUACCCUGGUAGUCCGCGCUGUAAACGGUGCACACUAGGUGUGGGGCCGGGUUUACCGGUUCCGUGCCGCAGCUAACG
rnacentral:rRNA from 1 species